AAGUAAUCAUUGUGCUUGUGUGCAUGGUGGAGUUAUACCUGUUUGGUUUGUCUUAAGAGGACACUUUGCUUCUUAAAAGGACAAAAUGCGUCUAGCAUUAUGAGAUUGAGCAAUAACAGGUCUGUGAUGCCCUUAGAUGUCCUGGGCUGCACGCGCGCUACAAUGAAGGUAUCAAUGUGUUUUAUCCUUGACCGAGAGGUAUGGGUAAACAUUGAACCACCUUCUUGGUUGGGAUUGUGGACUGUAACUGUUCACAUGAACCCGGAAUUCCCAGUAAGUGUGAGUCAUAAGCUUGCAUUGAUUACGUCCCUGCCCUUUGUACACACCGCCCGUCGCUACUACUGAUGAAUUGUUUAGUGAGGUCUCUGGACGUGUGCGCCGAAAUACUCUUGUAGUA
rnacentral:rRNA from 1 species